rnacentral:sRNA from 1 species
UAUAUACACAUUGUAAAUGACAAGUACAUAGCAUGUGCCCCUAAAAAUUCCCAUGCAUAGUCUUUGAUUAGGCAGUAACAAAUAAUUUGAAUUGGGAUUUGUUCUUCUUAGUCUUAUCACAUCUUUCACAGAUUUUUAAACUUACUCGUAUGCAUGCGUGAAUGCAAAUGUCAAAUUAUUGUUGCAAAUACCAAACUCAUUGAAUUAUCGUACACUCGUCUUUAAAAUAUACUUUUUAACCUGUAUCAAAAAGCCUGUAUUGAAACUUCCACAUUCGCUUGAAACGACAGGCAAUAAAAGUCACUGUGGCUCAGAGAUUAGCAUUUCCGCCUAUGACCUUGAAUGCCUGGGUCUAAUCACUAAUGCUGACCGCUUUUACUCGGCAAUAAAAAAUCAUGAAUUGAACCCCGGCAAAGGAUAACUAUGAGCAUCAUGCAGGCCGCAACUUUGAGCUCCAAUCUAUUUGGC